rnacentral:lncRNA from 1 species
GAUGAGUUCACCAGACUGGAGGGGGAGGUGGUCCCCCUCACCACCAUGGAUACCAUGAGGGAUGAGUUCACCAGACUGGAGGGGGUCCUCCUCACCACCAUGGAUACCAUGAGGGAUGAGUUCACCAGACUGGAGGGGGGAGGGGGCCCUCCUCACCACCUUGGAUACCAUGAGGGAUGAGUUCACCAGACUGGAGGGGGAGGUGGUCCUCUUCACCACCAUGGAUACAAUGAGGGAUGAGUUCACCAGACUGGAGAGGGGAGGGGGCCCUCCUCACCACCAUGGAUACCAUGAGGGAUGAGUUCACCAGACUGGAGGGGGAGGUGGUCCUCCUCACCACCAUGGAUACCAUGAGGGAUGAGUUCACCAGACUGGAGGGGGGAGGUGGUCCUCCUCACCACCAUGGAUACCAUGAGGGAUGAGUUCACCAGACUGGAGGGGGUCCUCCUCACCACCAUGGAUACCAUGAGGGAUGAGUUCACCAGACUGGAGGGGGGAGGGGGCCCUCCUCACCACCAUGGCUGCCAUGAGGGAUGAGUUCACCAGACUGGAGGGGGAGGUGGUCCUCCUCACCACCAUGGCUGCCAUGAGGGAUGAGUUCACCAGACUGGAGGUGGCCCUCCUCACCACCAUGGAUACCAUGAGGGAUGAGUUCACCAGACUGGAGGGGGGAGGUGGUCCCCCUCACCACCAUGGAUACCAUGAGGGAUGAGUUCACCAGACUGGAGGGGGGAGGGGGCCCUCCUCACCACCAUGGAUACCAUGAGGGAUGAGUUCACCAGACUGGAGGGGGGAGGGGGCCCUCCUCACCACCAUGGAUACCAUGAGGGAUGAGUUCACCAGACUGGAGGGGGAGGUGGUCCUCUUCACCACCAUGGAUACCAUGAGGGAUGAGUUCACCAGACUGGAGAGGGGAGGGGGCCCUCCUCACCACCAUGGAUACCAUGAGGGAUGAGUUCACCAGACUGGAGGGGGAGGUGGUCCUCCUCACCACCAUGGAUACCAUGAGGGAUG